rnacentral:rRNA from 1 species
GACGAACGCUGGCGGCGUGCUUAACACAUGCAAGUCGAACGGAAAGGCCCUGCUUUUGUGGGGUGCUCGAUUGGCGAACGGGUGAGUAACACGUGAGUAACCUGCCCUUGACUUUGGGAUAACUUCAGGAAACUGGGGCUAAUACCGGAUAGGAGCUCCUGCUGCAUGGUGGGGGUUGGAAAGUUUCGGCGGUUGGGGAUGGACUCGCGGCUUAUGAGCUGGUUGGUGGGGUAGUGGUUUCCCAAGGCUGUGACGGGUAGCCGGCAUGAGAGGGUGAACGGGGACCUUGGGACUGAGGUAGGGCGCAGACGCGUACGGGAGGCAGCGGGGGGGAGUCUUGCGCAGUGGGGGGACGCGUGAUGCGGCGGCGCUGCGUGCGGGAUGCCGGCCUUCGGGUUGUGAACCGCUGUCGCCGGUGACGAGGCGUGAGUGACGGUACUGGGUAAGGAAGCACCGGCUAACUACGUG